UUAAAACUGGGUUAUUAUGUAGAAUCUUGCUUACUUGACUGUGCUUUCUAAAAAUGCAGUUUUUCUCAGUGUUUUUUUUUUUUUUAAAAAAAAACAAACUUGAAAAACCAAACCAAUUCUGUUUUGACCUCUCAGGGACAAACAGGUGUACAGGGGAGAGUCUGAUCUAAUGAACUGCAGCUGGAGAACUCUGAGCCUACUGUGCAGUUCCCAGUCCUGCUGCCUUGUACGUGUUUUGCAGGGGAAGUAUUUGCAAAUAUGCUGGCACCAAAUAACGUUAAGAGGAAAAAAAAAAUCCAACAAACUUUUGAAGAGGAAUAUUUUUUUUGUUUUUGUAAGAGUUACUGAGAGAGUCUAAGUUUGCAUGCAUGAAAUAUUACCUUCCAAGUGGGUCUUGUGGUUGGUUAAAUCUCUUUAUAUUUUCUAGUGGAAAAUUCACUGUCUCUACCACAGAGUUUUCUAUUGCAUCCAAAGGCCUCUUGGCUAACUCAACAAUUCUUUUAGUAGAAGCAACAAGAAGGCUGGAAGAAAGUGGACAUGCAAGAGCUGUAAGAAAACAUCGGCUGUGGCAAAGGAAAAAGAAAGCUGUGUCUCUGCACAAAAGGAUGACAGAAAACGAAAAUCUUCUUAAGAUUUAGAAGGAUUCUUGUGCUCCCACCAAAACUGUUAAAUGUUUCCAAACUUUCCAGCUAUGCAGCAGCAAUCCAGCUCCUGGGUAACUGCAAUUACUGUGAUGGCACAAGUGUUUGAGAUAUACAGCUCCGGAAAGCAAAUGUUCACAUCUCCCCAUAUGUGGGGGGUCAAGUCUGAGCUUCAAAGGUCAGCCAUCCACAUUAGGGGGAAUGGAGCUUCCUGGCUACUUUACUACCACCGUUUUUAGCAUAUAAAUGCAUUGCAGUGCUCCUACAACACAAGCAGAUGAAUUUACAGGCUUUGCUUUCAGAGCAGAUGCAUUUUUUUUUUGUCAGCUGUGCCCCUAACGACAAUUGAUGGUUCAGGUUGAAUGCAUGUUGUUCUGCUAUUUUUAUGUGUGGUUAUUGGGAUUGCUUCUUGUUCAUGUGAUGGUAGCUGCCUGCCAGCUGGUGGCUGGAUUCUACAGGACAAUUAGCAAUUUUCCCCAUCUGGUGAAUAGAUUUACUCCGCAUGCAUCUUGCAUGUGAUAAUGUCUGAGGCUCAAAUAGAGAUGUUUCAGUGAAAGGCUGUUCUUCACUAUCCAGAACAAGGCUUUUUCCUGUAUGUUUUGCAUGUUUUCAGGGAAGUAUGGUUUUCUGAGAGUGGUGGAGGUGCUGUUUAAGUGGUUUGUAGUGCUCCAGUUCGGCUGGGGUGCUUGCAGUUCUCCUGGAAGUGAAACAAAACUACAGGAAUUGUGCUCCUGAUUUGCUGACUGAUUAAUAAAUAUCAAGGUUUUAUUUUUCA
rnacentral:lncRNA from 1 species